UACAAUCUCUCAAGCCUGGCUUGGUGUUGGGUCUUCGUCCCCUCGUCCCUGCCGCCCAAGUGGGUGCGGAGGACUCGGACGUACCUGAAAAUUAGUGGCGGUGCUCAUGAUGGUCUCAAGCGUAGCAGACUCUCUCUCGCUUUGGACGGCCUGUCAUGUAGCUCACCAGCCUUGCAUGCAUCUUCAACUAAG
rnacentral:misc_RNA from 1 species